CAGGCAACAACUGUAGUGUACAGUUCGCACUGUUGUCGUUGCUCUUCUUCUCCCCUUGCCGUUUCUACAAAUACACAUGCUCCCCUUCUUCUACAAAAUGUCGUUUUUGCCAUGCCCGUUGCAGCAGCUUACCCGCGGCCGAGAUGGUGUUCCCUGAGACUAAGAAGACGGGAACCCCGACUCUCACCGUCGUUUCCAGCCUCCCGUCACCCCUUCCACCACGGUGGCAGCAGCAUUGUCAAAGCACCGGUAAAAUUGGACAUACUAGAUUCCGGGGAGUACGUUGGACAUACGGAGGUUUCUUAAGCUCCAGAAAAAAUGAAUUUACACGAUACUUUUUCGGGAAAAAGUAACGGUACGACAAGAAACGUUUUAAAGGGCAAGGGCAACCAGCUAAGGGCCUGCCCUAGCCACGGAUUUAGACGGUAAAAAGCUUCGACGGUAGGACCGUGGGGCCGGGCGCUGACUAAUGACCGCUACCGUAGCUUUGCCUCGUCGCUGACAAAACAUCAGCGGCGUACACAAGCGAUACGGAGUAACGGCGAUAAGGCUUUCACCUCAACACUCUCCUUCCGGAAACGGAAAAGAUGGCUUCAAAAGAAGGCGGCGGAUCGUCCACCGAAAGCUGAAAAGAAAGGGAAAAAAAACAGAGAGCAAAGCUCCGCUAUUCUCCUCUUAAUCAGCCCCAUCAACUCGGGUUGGGUGGUGGAGAAGCCUAAAGUCGAGUUGGCAGGUCCCUUGUCCCUGCUAUAAAGAAGCGUGUGUGUGUGACGGUGAUAUGGACAAUCGUAUGAGGAGGUUGAUGAUGGAUAUGCACAGCAGCACAAGAGGAGACGGUGCACGUCCUGCUACGACCGUCGGCGUUUUCCUACAUGCGCCUCCCAAGGAAAAGAAGAGACCAUCUUCCAUCAUUAAUCCAACUAUGAGAGUGCAUUGAGUAUUGGACGCGGUUUUUGCUCCUAUCAGCCUUUCACCUCAUCAGCCCUUUUAUAAGGGGACCCGCAUUGUCUGACCAUAUCUCCUCCUACUCUGGCGGGUCAAUGGAUGUGUCACCUCUCCCCCCGGAGCACACCCUCUCGCCCUUCCUCCCCCUUCUCUCUCUCCAAGCCCUCCACCGGCUCCUCCCCGCCGACGUCCUCCAUGACUACCGCCAUUCCCUUCCCCUCGACGACCCCCCGCAUCUUGAAGCCAAGGAACUUUGAGGUAUUGGAGAUGCUCACCAGAUAUUUGAUAACCUGUCUCAAGGGAGAUACUAGAUUGCAGGCUAUUCUCAGACACAUGUUCCCAAGUGUACCACAUUUGGUAAGCGUAUCCCAAUUGGAGUGUCAAGUCGAAGUUUUCUUGUGGAUGAAUCCAUGAAGUGAAGGGUUUCGUUUUAUCAUUUAAUGUGCACUGUGGAGAUAGUAUGGAAGAUCACACAUCUGCGCAUAUUUUUGCGUGAGCUGCUUGGUCUCCUCAGGUUUGAAUAAAGGAUAAUCUGCUUCGUCAGGCUAUUUGGGCACAUUUGUGAAGUCAAAGGCAGAAGAUAAUCCAAUGUGUUACUGGUGCAUCUUUUUGGUUCUCGGUGCUUCAAGAAUGUCUGAUUGGUGUAACUUGACACCUGCUGCACAAAAGGGUGAUCUGUCCGCUAGUUUCAUGGGUGGAGAUGGACCACCUAGAGAUGCGAUCCUUAACUACAAAUAAGGGUGGCCGACCAGUAUUGUUUGUUCGGUGUUUAACAAGGAGCACGAGACCCACCGCUGCAAGACCGUGGCUUUCAGUG